rnacentral:lncRNA from 1 species
GCAUGGUUGCCAGGGUUACCCAAAGAUUAGAAGUAAGGUGAAGUGUGUCCUCCAGGAGGUGUGCAGCGCCACAUGGAGAAAGAGCAUGAAGAGUUUGGAGAUGCUCCUCAGGAACCGGAUUGGCUGAAGAAACAAGUGGCUUCAGGCAAACCUAGGUGCUUUCCAGCCUGAGUCUUGCCUGCCUUCCAGCCCUGCCUCAUGUCUGCCUUUCAGCUUGUGUCUUGCCUGCCUUCCGGCCUGCUCCACGCCUGCCUUCCAGCCUACAUCUUCAAGCCUGCAUCUUGCCUGUCUUCUUUGGAAGGUUUUCGUCACCGACUCCUCAAUGUCUUCAGGGACACUUAACUGUUUUCCUCCCCUCUUUCACCUUCUCGAAGCUUCUACCUUUUAAACUUGUGUUAGCGUUCCUGAGAGCCUGAGUAAGUGUGUUGGGGUUUACCUCAAUCAAUGGAGCUGCAGAGUUCAUUUAUCUUAAGUGACUCCACUUAGGAGGAAAGGUGCUGAUGAUCUUCCCGAGCUCUUUCAGAUAUUACUCUACUUUGAAGACAGCAAGCAAAAGAAGAUUGAGAAAACUUCAAUGCGUGGCUCUUACAGAGAAUCAAGAAUCAGG